AGCAACGCCGCGUGAGGGAGGAAGGUCUUUGGAUUGUAAACCUCUUUUCUCAAGGAAGAAGUUCUGACGGUACUUGAGGAAUCAGCCUCGGCUAACUCCGUGCCAGCAGCCGCGGUAAUACGGGGGAGGCAAGCGUUAUCCGGAAUUAUUGGGCGUAAAGCGUCCGCAGGUGGUCAGCCAAGUCUGCCGUCAAAUCAGGUUGCUUAACGACCUAAAGGCGGUGGAAACUGGCAGACUAGAGAGCAGUAGGGGUAGCAGGAAUUCCCAGUGUAGCGGUGAAAUGCGUAGAGAUUGGGAAGAACAUCGGUGGCGAAAGCGUG
rnacentral:rRNA from 1 species